rnacentral:rRNA from 1 species
GAUGAACGCUGGCGGCGUGCCUAAUACAUGCAAGUCGAGCGAACAGAUGAGGAGCUUGCUCCUCUGACGUUAGCGGCGGACGGGUGAGUAACACGUGGAUAACCUACUUAUAAGACUGGGAUAACUUCGGGAAACCGGAGCUAAUACCGGAUAAUAUAUUGAACCGCUUGGUUCAAUAGUGAAAGACGGUUUUGCUGUCUCUUAUAGAUGGAUCCGCGCCGACUUAGCUAGUUGGUAAGGUAACGGCUUACCAAGGCAACGAUGCGUAGCCGACCUGAGAGGGUGAUCGGCCACACUGGAACUGAGACACGGUCCAGACUCCUACGGGAGGCAGCAGUAGGGAAUCUUCCGCAAUGGGCGAAAGCCUGACGGAGCAACGCCGCGUGAGUGAUGAAGGUCUUCGGAUCGUAAAACUCUGUUAUUAGGGAAGAACAAAUGUGUAAGUAACUAUGCACGUCUUGACGGUACCUAAUCAGAAAGCCACGGCUAACUACGUG